rnacentral:lncRNA from 1 species
AUUCAAGAGGAAGUUCAGUAGCAAUCAGUGAUGGCAGAGAGGAGAUGAUACCCCAGGUGAUGCUGAGAAUCCAAGGUCCUCCAGGGAAAUUGCUGUGAUUUCUGCCUGGCCAAGAUCUCAUUGCUUCUCCAUCUGUUAGUAGCAUCUCAGUGUUCUUGGUGGAACCCACUUCUGAGGUGAGCUGAAGUCAUCUUCAGGUUCCAGCAAUGGCAGUGUGAUCCCGAUAUAGGCAUUCAGUGUCCUGCAGAUUUUUGGCCAAGAAUGGGCCAUGGAUUAUGCUGGCAAUGCUGAGUGAGUCCUAGGAGUUUUUGAAACUGUUGGGGAAAAAAAAAAAUGCCUUUUUUUGUUUGUUUGUUUUUUGGGGGGGUGGGGGCAGCACCAGAGGCACAUGGAAGUUCCCAAGCUAGAGGUCGAAUUAGAUCGAAUUAGAGUUAUAGCUGCUGGCCUAUGCCACAGUUCACGGCAAUGCUGGAUCCGUAACCCACUAAACAAGGCCAGGGAUUGAACAAGCAUCCUCCUGGAUAUGGUUGGAUUCAUUACCAUUGAGCCAUGAUGGGAACUCCUUGAAUUGAAUUUCUUUUAUUUGAAACAGAAUCCUGAAAAAAUACAGGUCCUGUUCAACAAAACUUGACUGUAUGAUUAUGUAAUCUAUAAAUCUGGCUUGGCAGAUUUAUAGUAAUUUCUAAUAGAUUUUUAUGAUUUCUAAUAAGGGCUUUGUUGGUAUUUAGAUGUAGUUGCUUAUCAUAAGUUAUAAAACUACAUUGCUUCAAAUUAUAAAACUUCAGUGAUUAAAAAUCAAACUUCAGUGCUUUGAAAAUCAUUAUUUUACAUUGGGAGUCCUUCCUUCUUUUUAAUUUGAAUUAAUGAGGUUUUAUUGCACAAUGUUGACUUUAUCUCAACCUGGUGAUCUCCUCAAUCUGAAAGUAGUGAUGAAGGGGAGUUAACAUUGUGGCUCAGCAGAAACGAACUCAACUAGUAUCCAUGAGAAUGUGGGCUUGAUCCCUGGCCCUGCUUAGUGAGUUAAAGAUCUGGUGUUGCCAAGAGCUGUGGUGUAGGCCGCAGAUGUGUCUUGGAUCUGGCAUGGCUGUGGUGUAGGCUGGAAGCUACAGCUCCAAUUCAACCCCUAGCCUGGGAACUUCCAUAUGCCGCACUUGCAGGCCUAAAAAUAAAUAAAUACAUAAACAAACAACUAAGUAAAUAAAAGUAGUAAUGAGGGCAUAUAUCUUACUUUUAGUAUUUUUAAAUUGAUGAAUGGUAAUUUUAUCUGAGCCAAAAUUGUACAGACUUAAUAAAUGCAUUUUUUAAACAUUAAAAGUUUAAAAUAUGGGAGGUGUGACCAACUUUGAAAAACAGGGUUUUUUUUUUUAAAGGGAUUGCUUUGAAGGUAUUUUUAAAAAGUGAUUCAUAACAUUGACACAAUGUUGGAAACUAUCUCAACAGAUGUUAUAUUAGUUGAGAUUCUUGACGUCUAACGAUUCCAGCUAGAAUUAAGUAGAAAAGGAAUUCAUUAAAAGGACAUGGAAGAGUUUAUAGACACACUGGAGUGGAGAGCACAAUUUCAGGCUAGGAAUCCAGAGGAAAACUCCAACCUAAGUCUCAGUCUUGGUUUUCAAAAAGAAGUGAUUGUUGUCAUUGUCAGCCACACACGUGUGCAACACCCCCACCCCUACCAGCCUCCUGUUCUUGGUUUCUUGCAUCAGUAACUACUUGGUCAAAGUCCAGCUAUGAAUCUUAAUUCUCAUGAAAGCGUUCUAUCUUUAAGAAAAGCUGCUAAGUAUCUAUUAUUCUCAGCUUCUAUAGCAAUGGACUCCCUCUGCCCCACACCAAGACUCCUAAGUGAGAAUUCUCCAAAUAUAGAAAGGGACUUAGUUGCUAUGUAGCCAAAAGAAAUCACAAAUGCCUUCUCUAAGUCAAACUUUGGCAGCCUAAUAUCAAUUUACACACUUUUCCUUGCACUUAACCUAAAGCAACUAUUUUUCCCCAUAUAAAGGGAAUGAGCUGAGGUCAUUCAGAUUGAAAUGCAGGCUUUCUGGAAGAUGUCCAAUUCUUCUGGAGUUGUGCCAUGGUCUUGUCUCAGUAUUCUAUAAAUCAUCUACUGAAGUUUAAGUUCAACCCCAGGAACAUACACUACAUAAAUCAUAGGAGAAAUGGACAGAAAAUGGAGGAAAAUGUGAUAAAAUAUAUAAAUAUACACCUAAAAGAAUAUGUACAUAUAUGCAAUCCUUACUUCUGCAUCUCAUCUUUGGUGCUGUAUUUUGUGUUGUUGAUUUGGCUCCUCUGCUAUCAAUUUCACAUUCCUUUUGCCCUCGGUCGAGAGUUUCCCUGUACUUUCAUCACUGAGAAAACUGACCCCUUGGCCAUCUUUCUUAUACUGAGUUUUUGUGGAUUUUCUUUAACCUUUAUCACUGGAAAUGGUGGUAUUAAAGGGCACCUCAGAAGAUUACUGGGUUUCCCUUAACAUCUUUUGAUCCCAUUGUGUAAUAGCAACCCUAUUUUCCCAUUGUAGCUAGGAUCAAUCAUUCCUGUUGUACCAUGAUCUCUUUUUUGACUAGUCAUCCUGUGGUUUCAGAAUAGAAAAUAGAGAAUUGGCAUUCUCAGCAUCUGGUUGGAUUAAACCAGUCUUUACUCGAUGCCUGUGGCAGUUACCUCCCCAGCGCCUACAAAGACCCCUAAACCCAUGGAACCUAGAGGGGCUGGAAUAGGAUGCAAAAUUUUUGUGAAUGAGCCGUUAGGCAAAUGUGUGAGAGGCGUCACUCCCGCUUCUUCCCCUUGCUUACCAGAUUCAUGUACUCUGGCUGUGGAACCAAGUACCAUACAUGGUUAUUGGUUCAGAGCAUAUACUAUAUCUUGUAUACUAGCACCCCAACUUCACGAAGGUCUCCAAGCUAGUACCAGAACUGAAUAUUUUAUGUGCUAUUCCAAAAUUCUGUAAGGUCGAUUGCUGCUGAAUAAUGGGAAUACCUGGUAAAGCCAGUAAUUCCAUAAACACUAGUCCAUUUUCUUUACUCUUUACCACAAAGUAAGUUUCUGGAUUAGAAAUUAUGUUGUAUGGUGCUUCAUGAUGAAGAAUACAUAUAAUAAAUCUAUAAAUAGUGAUUUUUGGAAGAAUGGACAGGAAAAGCAAAUGUGAACAUAAAAUAAUUGUCUAAUCAUGUAUUCCCAAAUAACUGUUCUUUUCAUUAUGGAAGGAGUCCAAUAUAAUCAAUAGGCUAAUAUAAUCACAGCAAGGCCACAUCUGAAUCUCACAUACACUGUAGACUGCAGUAACAUUGGAUCCUUAACCCACUGAGUGAGGCCAAGGAUCUAACCCACAUCCUUAUGGACACUAUGUCAGGUUCUUAACCCACUGAGCAACAGUGGGAACUCCAAGAGCUGUAUUUUAAACAGGUUAAGAUUGAGGUGCCUAUUACACAGUCUUGUUAACUUGGAGUAUGCGGUUGGACGAAUAUUCAGUUUGUGGAAUGUUGAUUGAUAACCAGCUUUGACAACAGCAUCUUUUUCAGGAAGGUUAUUUAUCACUUAGUUAUAAACACUGAAAUUAACUUUAUUUGAAUUAAGUAGUUAUUAUAGCAUGUUGGGUACCUAGAAACAGAAGUUGUCAUAGGUAUUCAAGGAAAUCUCCUCCAGACACCUCAAAACAGAAUUGGUUCUGGCAAGAAAAGUGCUAAAUGCAUUUUAGGAUGAUAUUGCCCUUGCUAGGCUUGAACUAGCAAUAUUUCAGCUUCCAUACUGUCUGGAGACCAGCCAGCCUUCUGAUGGUCUGUAGAUUAAAGAUGUAUAUAUAUGAUAAAGGUUCUGAACAGGCCAUAUUUGAUCCCUAGCCUCCUUGCUCGGUGGGUUAAGGAUCUGGGUUGGCCACAAGCUGCAGCAUAGGUUGCAGACGCACCUCAGAUCCGGGUUGCCAUGGCUGUGACUUAGGGCUCAGCUACAGCUCUAAUUCAACUCCUGGCCCCAGAACUUCCCUAUGCCAUAGGUGUGGCC